rnacentral:lncRNA from 1 species
CUAGAACAUAUUAAUUUCAUGUGAAUACAUUAUAUCCUUCUAUAACACAUUACUUUCCUACUAAUGCAUUCUAUUAUUCCAUAACAUAUUAAUUUCAUAUUAAUACAUUGUUAUAGAAUAGAUAAGAUAAAUUUCAUAUGAACACAUUAUUUUGUUAUAUAAUGUUAUAUAUUAUAUAAACUAUGCUAUAUGCAUAAUAAUAUAUGUUAUUAUAUAUAUUCAAUUAUAUAAUAUGCCAUAUUAUAUUAACAUAACAACUGGCAUUCAUGUAGGCACUUUCAAGUUUUCAAAGUGCUUACACAUGACGCUACUUCAUCAUGGCAACAAAUCUGGGUCUCAGGUCUCAUUAUUCCCAUUUUAUGGAUAAGGAAACUGAGGCUAAGGGAAGAAAAUGGCUUGCCCAGGGUCACACAGUUGGUAAGGUAUCUGAGAUGGGAUUCAAAGUCAUGUCUUCCUGACUCCAAGUCCAGCAAGGAUUAGCUUGGAUCCAGCAAGGAUCCAUUAGAUAACUUCUUGCUAAGGGCAGUAUUGGGAGACGAGGCAGAAAGGUAGGUUGGGAUCAUAUUUUGGAGAGAGGACCUCAGACAUCCGCCUGCAGAGCUUGGGACACCACAUCAUGGAAUGAGUCCUAGUUUUGGAGCAGGAGGACCUGAGUUUGAGUCCUAGUUCUGUUGAUUCCUAUCCAUCUUGCAGUGGGUGGGUGGCUCAGUUCCCUCUUCUGUAAGAUGAAAGGGCUGGGCUUGAGGAUUCCUAAGGGACCCCAUCCUACAAGCGACAGAGCAUCGGUGCAAGGAUUCCAUCAGGGGGUGGCAGGCUGGGAGAGGGGCUUUGAGAAAGGGGCAGAUAGGAGCUGUCCAGUGUACCCAGUGGCUAAUCUCUCUCUGACUCUCUGUCUCUGUCUCUGUCUCUCUGUGUGUCUCUGUCUCUCUCUGUGUGGUGUGUGUGUGUGUGUGUGUGUGUGUGUGUGUGUGUGUGUGUGUGCCUGUUUUGUGUCCCCAACCAGAGCUCCUUGAGGGAAGGGAUGCUGUUUGCACUGAAAACAUUGAUCCAAGUACCAGCUGUCCCACCACCUGGGUGACCUUGGAUAAGUCCAUUUUUCCUUUCUGUGUCAAUUUCUUUUUUCUUUUAAAAAAGAUUAUUUUUUAUUAUUAUGACUUUGAUAAACAUCCACAAAUAGGAACACUUUCCCACACAAACAUAAGCAGAAAAAGAGAUUUGCUCACGAAAUGGAAAUCUUCCUGGCAUGAAAUUUGUUGUUGUUGUUUUAAGUCUACUUCAAAUUUGACAUCUCUAAUCUAAAGAAGACAUAUGACCACGUCACUAUUGUGGUCAACAAACUUUAGUGACUCUCUAUUGACCUGUAGGAUUAAAAAGAAACUGACAUUAAAAGUCCUUCACCACCUAAUCCCAACCAAUUCUCUCCCUUCGUGUCAAUUUCUUCAUCUAUAAAAGGAGGGUCCAGUGACUUCUGGAGUGUCUCCACUGUGAGAGUCGAGGAUCCACGUUCCCUUGUGGCUGGAACACUCAGGAAAUGUCAAGAGUUAGAAGGGAUCUCAGCCCUUGCCCUUCUGUCUUAGAGUUGUACUAGGA